rnacentral:rRNA from 1 species
ACAAGCGGUGGAGCAUGUGGUUUAAUUCGAUGAUACGCGAGGAACCUUUACCUGGGCUCAAAUGUAUGUUGACGUAUUCUGAAAGGGAUACUUCUUCGGACAAUAUACAAGGUGCUGCAUGGUUGUCGUCAGCUCGUGCCGUGAGGUGUCGGGUUAAGUCCCGCAACGAGCGCAACCCCUGCAUUCAGUUGCCAUCGGGUGAAGCCGGGCACUCUGGAAGGACUGCCAUCGACAAGAUGGAGGAAGGUGGGGACGACGUCAAGUCAUCAUGGCCCUUAUGUCCAGGGCGACACACGUGCUACAAUGGCCGGCACAACGGGAAGCGAGUUCGCGAGGACGAGCGGAUCCCUUAAAGCCGGUCGCAGUUCGGAUUGAAGUCUGCAACUCGACUUCAUGAAGCUGGAAUCGCUAGUAAUCGCAGAUCAGCCAAGCUGCGGUGAAUACGUUCCCGGGCCUU